rnacentral:rRNA from 1 species
UAGCGAAGGGGGCUAGCGUUGCUCGGAAUCAGCUGGGCGUAAAGGGUGCGUAGGCGGGUCUUUAAGUCAGGGGUGAAAUCCUGGAGCUCAACUCCAGAACUGCCUUCGAUACUGGCGAUCUUGAGUCCGGAAGAGGUGAGUGGAACUCCUAGUGUAGAGGUGGAAUUCGUAGAUAUUAGGAAGAACACCAGUGGCGAAGGCGGCUCCACUGGCCCGAUA